rnacentral:rRNA from 1 species
GAUGAACGCUGGCGGCGUGCCUAAUACAUGCAAGUCGAGCGAACGGACGAGAAGCUUGCUUCUCUGAUGUUAGCGGCGGACGGGUGAGUAACACGUGGAUAACCUACCUAUAAGACUGGGAUAACUUCGGGAAACCGGAGCUAAUACCGGAUAAUAUUUUGAACCGCAUGGUUCAAAAGUGAAAGACGGUCUUGCUGUCACUUAUAGAUGGAUCCGCGCUGCAUUAGCUAGUUGGUAAGGUAACGGCUUACCAAGGCAACGAUGAAUAGCCGACCUGAGAGGGUGAUCGGCCACCCUGGAACUGAGACACGGUCCAGACUCCUACGGGAGGCAGCAGUAGGGAAUCUUCCGCAAUGGGCGAAAGCCUGACGGAGCAACGCCGCGUGAGUGAUGAAGGUCUUCGGAUCGUAAAACUCUGUUAUUAGGGAAGAACAUAUGUGUAAGUAACUGUGCACAUCUUGACGGUACCUAAUCAGAAAGCCACGGCUAACUACGUG